rnacentral:rRNA from 1 species
UACGGGGGGGGCAAGCGUUGUUCGGAAUUACUGGGCGUAAAGGGCGCGUAGGCGGCCUGCUAAGUCACACGUGAAAUCUUCAAGCUCAACUUGGAAACUGCGUCCGAUACUAUUCGGCUAGAGGAAUGGAGGGGAGACUGGAAUGCUUGGUGUAGCAGUGAAAUGCGUAGAUAUCAAGUGGAACACCAGUGGCGAAGGCGAGUCUCUGGACAUUUCCUGACGCUGAGGCACGAAAGCCAGGGGAGCAAACGGG